rnacentral:rRNA from 1 species
ACUCAAUAGAUACCCUGGUAGUCUUGGCCCUAAACGAUGAUCACUAGGUGUCGGGGGGUAACCUUCGGUGCCGCAGCUAAACGCAUUAAGUGAUCCGCCUGGGGACUACGGCCGCAAGGUUGAAACUCAAAGGAAUUGGCGGGGGCCCGCACAAGCGGUGGAGCAUAUGGCUUAAAUUCGAUGCAACGCGAAGAACCUUACCAGGGCUUGACAUGCACCUGCACUCUCCGGAAACGGAGCCGCCUUCGAGGGUGGUGCACAGGUGGUGCAUGGCUGUCGUCAGCUCGUGUUGUGAAAUGUUGGGUUAAGUCCCGCAACGAGCGCAACCCUCACGUUCUGUUACCAGCGAGUAAAGUCGGGGACUCGGAACGAACUGCCUCUGUAAAGAGGAGGAAGGUGGGGAUGACGUCAAGUCAUCAUGCCCCUUACGCCCUGGGCUGCACAUAUGCUACAAUGGCUUCUACAA